UCUGGCAUCCACCCUCUUAUUUGGUGCUGCAGACCUCUGAGAUGCAGUGGGCAGGUGAUAUCUCCAUUUUAUAGGUGUGGAGACAGGUUCCAAAUUGUUAAAUGACUCAUUCAUAGUCAAACAGCCAGUAACUGACAGAGCAGGACCAAACAGGUCUUCUAAUUUCAAAUGCCAUCCUUUUUUCCACAACAGCAUGCUGUCUUCCUAGAAGAGGUGGGGUCUUACACUAUAUUGACUAGGCUGGGAGGACAAGAACCUGGAACCCACCAAAUGGUGGGUGCGCAAAGAGCUGUAACACUGUAGCUCUCCCUCCUGCUCGCCGAGCAAAGGGGGAGAAAAAGCCACUGUGCACCACAUGCCCCCAUUCACCAAGCUGCGGGCGACGGGACUGGAGGAGCUGUGACACAAAUGAGCUGUAAUACGCCCCCCAUUCACCGUGCUGCAGGCAGCAGGAAUGAGAGAGAGCUGCGUCAUUUCUUGGGGACUCAAACCUUGGGACAUCCCAGGCAAGAGCUAUAACACCCCUUGGGGCUCCAUGGUUGCUGGCAUGUUCGUGUUUUCAGCCGCUACCGCGUUCCCCUCAUCUAAAAGCUGGUGCCUAACAUGAAAAUGGUCCACAGCAUGCCUGGCUCAGCUGCAGGCUGAGCACGGAAUCCUUGCGCAUGCACAGGAUCUGGGUUGGUAGCCUGAGCUGAGCGCAGCCUGCCAGGGCGAGCUGGUGGAGUGAGCCCAGGAGUAAGCCCAGAGCCAAGCCAAGCCUGGACAGAGUUGCUGCCAGCCGUGGAUGUUUCCAGGUGUCGAAGCGGCAUCAAAAUCAUCCUGUGUCACUAACAUCAUUGCAAUGCUACUUCUUUAUGCACCAAAAUGUUUUGACUUAUUGCUUUGUUUUCUUUUAACCAUUUUGUACAGAAAUCAUUCUCAAAAGCUAAACA
rnacentral:lncRNA from 1 species